AGGACAGACAUAAUUGAGUUUCUUAUUGGUUGCUCCAUUACUGAUAUUGUGCUCAAAUAACAUUAACUCACAUUAAAAUAACAGCACAACCUUUCUUUACAGAGCAAACCCAACCAACUAUCAAGUCUAACAAUCAUACACAUCUCCCAGCGAUAGAGCAAAACGGCACACAAUGGAAGACUUUCACUCUCAUAUCUUGUCUAUUAAAUGGUGUUUUGAUCAUCAUAGUCAUAGGACUAUUAAAGGUUUGUGUUUUUAAAAACGGAUGUUGGAUACGAUCUGAAAACAGCUCAGAACAACUUCGUACAACCGAUGUACAGCCGGCACAAGUUAUAGAUCAGCAUCAAGACCCAAACCAUGUACAGUAUGUGUCCGUGGACUUUUCCAAACUGCGUAAAAAGGUUCGUCCCAACCAAGACCACAGCACGUAUGCUGCUAUAAAGCUGCCAAGAUCAAGAGGAGAGGAAUAUGAGUGACCUUAUAUUUAUCUUGUACAUUUACAUCUAACUUAUUUUGGAUUUCCUUAUGUUUCAA